GACGAACGCUGGCGGCGUGCCUAAUACAUGCAAGUAGAACGCACAGUUUAUACCGUAGCUUGCUACACCAUAGACUGUGAGUUGCGAACGGGUGAGUAACGCGUAGGUAACCUGCCUGGUAGCGGGGGAUAACUAUUGGAAACGAUAGCUAAUACCGCAUAAUAUUGAUUAUUGCAUGAUAAUUGAUUGAAAGAUGCUAUUGCAUCACUACCAGAUGGACCUGCGUUGUAUUAGCUAGUAGGUGAGGUAACGGCUCACCUAGGCGACGAUACAUAGCCGACCUGAGAGGGUGAUCGGCCACACUGGGACUGAGACACGGCCCAGACUCCUACGGGAGGCAGCAGUAGGGAAUCUUCGGCAAUAGACGAAAGUCUGACCGAGCAACGCCGCGUGAGUGAAGAAGGUUUUCGGAUCGUAAAGCUCGGUUGUAAGAGAAGAACGGGUGUGAGAGUGGAAAGUUCACACUGUGACGGUAUCUUACCAGAAAGGGACGGCUAACUACGUG
rnacentral:rRNA from 1 species